rnacentral:rRNA from 1 species
UACGUAGGGUGCAAGCGUUGUCCGGAAUUAUUGGGCGUAAAGAGCUCGUAGGCGGUUUGUUGCGUCGGCUGUGAAAUCCCGAGGCUCAACCUCGGGUCUGCAGUCGAUACGAGCAAACUAGAGUGUUGCAGGGGAGACUGGAAUUCCGGGUGUAGCGGUGGAAUGCGUAGAGAUCCGGAAGAACACCGGUGGCGAAGGCGGCCUGCUGGGGUCUGGCUGACGCUGAGGCGCGAACAGCGUGGGGAGCAAACAGGG